GCCGGGGUGGUGGAAUGGUAGACACGCUGUCUUGAGGGGGCAGUAAGCGUAAGCUUGUAGGAGUUCAAAUCUCCUCCCCGGCACCA
rnacentral:tRNA from 1 species